rnacentral:rRNA from 1 species
UACGUAGGGGGCAAGCGUUGUCCGGAAUCAUUGGGCGUAAAGCGCGCGUAGGCGGCCCGGUAAGUCCGCUGUAAAAGUCCAGGGCUCAACCCUGGAAAGCCGGUGGAUACUGUCGGGCUAGAGUCCGGAAGAGGCGAGUGGAAUCCUGGUGUAGCGGUGGAAUGCGCAGAUAUCUGGAGGAACACCGGUGGCGAAGGCGGCAUCCUGGACCGGUAUUGACGCUGAGGCGCGAAAGCUAGGGGAGCAAACGGG